rnacentral:rRNA from 1 species
GACGAACCUUGCUAACGUUAUUCGGAAUUACUGGGCUUAAAGGGUGCGUAGGCGGUGCGGAAAGUUGGGUGUGAAAUCCCUCGGCUCAACCGAGGAAUUGCGCCCAAAACUGCCGCACUAGAGGAAGACAGAGGUACGCGGAACUUAGGGUGGAGCGGUGAAAUGCGUUGAUAUCCUAAGGAACACCGGUGGCGAAGGCGGGUCUCUGGGCCGAUAUUGACGCUGAGGAGCGAAAGCGUGGGGAGCGAACAGG